CAGUCGAGCGCUUCCCUUCGGGGAGGAGCGGCGGACGGGUUAGUAACGCGUGGGAAUGUACCCUUCUCUAUGGAAUAGCCUUUGGAAACGAAGAGUAAUACCAUAUACGCCCUUCGGGGGAAAGAUUUAUCGGAGAAGGAUCAGCCCGCGUAAGAUUAGAUAGUUGGUGGGGUAAUGGCCUACCAAGUCUACGAUCUUUAGCUGGUUUGAGAGGAUGAUCAGCAACACUGGGACUGAGACACGGCCCAGACUCCUACGGGAGGCAGCAGUGGGGAAUCUUAGACAAUGGGCGCAAGCCUGAUCUAGCCAUGCCGCGUGAGUGAUGAAGGCCUUAGGGUCGUAAAGCUCUUUCACCUGUGAAGAUAAUGACGGUAGCAGGAAAAGAAACCCCGGCUAACUCCGUGCCAGCAGCCGCGGUAAUACGGAGGGGGUUAGCGUUGUUCGGAAUUACUGGGCGUAAAGCGUACGUAGGCGGAUUAGUAAGUAAGAGGUGAAAUCCCAUGGCUCAACCAUGGAACUGCCUUUUAAACUGCUAGUCUUGAGUUCGAGAGAGGUGAGUGGAAUUCCAAGUGUAGAGGUGAAUUCGUAGAUUUUGGAGGAACACCAGUGGCGAAGGCGGCUCACUGGCUCGAU
rnacentral:rRNA from 1 species